AUGUCACCAUCCAUGAGUCUUGCAGUGAAAGGUCUGCUCCCCUUUGGAGCGCUCCCCUCGAGCAGCGUCGCGCAGAGGCCGGUGUCCAUGACCGCCUCACUGGAGCAUAAUACGAGCGAUUAUAAGAGCAAGCUCCUGAAGCUUGCGCUCGGAGGAGUCGGCCUGCCCGCCUUGUUGAGUGCCAAGAAGGCUUUCGCUGAUGACUAG
rnacentral:rRNA from 1 species